rnacentral:snoRNA from 1 species
UUUGCCCCAUGAGACGUAAUCAUGGUUUGAGUGCCAUGUUUAUGCCAUAAGAGGGCAAACAGGAACUGGCCAUAAAUGGCCUUGGGCUUCUGCAGAGUGAGCUCCAAGGACGGUACGUGGCCAGAUAAA